rnacentral:rRNA from 1 species
UACGUAGGGGGCAAGCGUUGUCCGGAAUUAUUGGGCGUAAAGAGCGUGUAGGCGGUCCGGUAAGUCGGCUGUGAAAGUCCAGGGCUCAACCCUGGGAUGCCGGUCGAUACUGCCGUGCUUGAGGACUGGAGAGGAGACUGGAAUUUACGGUGUAGCGGUGAAAUGCGUAGAUAUCGUAAGGAAGACCAGUGGCGAAGGCGGGUCUCUGGGCCGAUACUGACGCUGAGACGCGAAAGCGUGGGGAGCAAACAGG